rnacentral:rRNA from 1 species
GCUGAUACCGCCCAAGAGUUCAUAUCGACGGCGGUGUUUGGCACCUCGAUGUCGGCUCAUCUCAUCCUGGGGCUGUAGCCGGUCCCAAGGGUAUGGCUGUUCGCCAUUUAAAGAGGUACGUGAGCUGGGUUUAAAACGUCGUGAGACAGUUUGGUCCCUAUCUUCCGUGGGCGCUGCAGAUUUGAGGAAGCCUGCUCCUAGUACGAGAGGACCGGAGUGGACACACCUCUGGUGUAUCGGUUGUCACGCCAGUGGCAUUGCCGAGUAGCUAUGUGUGGAAGAGAUAACCGCUGAAAGCAUCUAAGCGGGAAACUCGUUUCAAGAUGAGAUCUGCCGGGGCCUUGAGCCCCCUGAAGAGUCGUUCAAGACCAGGACGUUGAUAGGUCAGGUGUGGAAGCGCAGUAAUGCGUUAAGCUAACUGAUACUAAUUGCUC